rnacentral:rRNA from 1 species
ACGGACUCCUACGGGAGGCAGCAGUAGGGAAUCUUCCACAAUGGGCGCAAGCCUGAUGGAGCAACGCCGCGUGUGUGAUGAAGGCUUUCGGGUCGUAAAGCACUGUUGUAUGGGAAGAAAUGCUAGAAUAGGGAAUGAUUUUAGUUUGACGGUACCAUACCAGAAAGGGACGGCUAAAUACGUGCCAGCAGCCGCGGUAUUA